GCCAGAGGGGAAACAAUUAACUACUGUUUUUAUUUUAUUAAAUCAACAUUUUCUGAUUACUAACAUGAGCACCAGUUUUUCCACCAUUAGUACCUUUAUUUGCUACAAACAGCAAAUGAAAAUAAUAUCAUUAAGAUUAUCUGGGAAGUUUUCAAGGAACUCAAGAUUCCUGUGUCCUAUUUCAAAACCAUCAAAUAAAAUUCUUCUGAGAUGAGGCUGAGAAAUCCAUGUUUGAAGUUGCUCCCUAGGUAAUUUUGGUGUUCAACUAAGUUUAGGAAACACUGCACUAAAUGACCCAAGUCAAGGUUAAACACAGUAAAAUGCAAGUAAUACCUUCUUGUUUAACCUACUUCUAAGACUUCAGCACAAAAGACUGACCUCGAUCUAACCGAAGAGCAAUUAACUCCUAUCUGUCUUUAUUCAUCCAUAUAAAAAAGGGCAGCGAAAGAUAACACUGGGUCAGUUAAGCACCCUUUUCACAAUGCUCUUCUUAAUGUGCUAUUUCUAUGUCAAUUUGCCGUCAUCUAAAACCUUAGAAGCAUUUUCUUAAAAAAAGAAAAAUCAGAAUGUGAGAUUUAAACAUACCUUAGUUCCUGGGUGCUUGACCUUAUUUAUGUACUGCUACCAUUUUGGGAGUUUUUGAAAUACUGAUGCUUGCAACCACCUUCAGCCAUUCUGAUUUAUUGAUUUGAGUGCUGUCCAGGUGUUUAAAAUUUCCUGGAGAUGCUAGUGUGGGCCCCAAAUAAAAUCACUGCUGUUAUGAUUGAUGACUAACUCUGAGGAUGAUUGACUUCACCUGUGUACUUUUCUUCCAUCCACCAGUGUGGUUGCCAAAUACUGCUGGUCCUCAGUCCACUGAGAGAUUUCACAAACACCAGAGGUUCCCAAGAGGACAAUUCAGCAGACACAAAAUGGAUGCAGGGGAAAGCAUAUUACUUAAAUACUCCCAGGUCAUUUUAACAAUGGUGAUAAUAAUUACAAUAACUCAUAUUCACUAGAUGAUUAUGUGCUAGGCAAGAUCCUAAUCUCUUUGCAUAUAUUAAAUAAUUUCAUCUUCAGUAAAACCAGUGAGUGAAAGGGUCACUAGCCUUCUUUCACAGUGAUGGACCUGAGGAAUAGGAAAGGUAAAUAACUUGCCCCACAUCACACAGAGAGUAAGGGACAGAUUCAAGGUUUGAACCCAGGCCAUAAGAUAUCAGAGGCAUGUCCUCGAUUCAUUUAUUCUUUACGGCAACCUUAUGAUGUAGAUCCACAUUAUUAUCAUUUUACUGGUGAGGAAAUCCCCAUGGAAGAAAGCAAUUUUAACAAGAACUUAAAACACCAAUAUAGUUAAAUUAUAAGCAGAGUUACUAAUUAAUUAUAAUAGCCAUAAAACACCUAUAUCCUCUAAAGGAGUGAGCUUGGAAGUUCCCAUGUCCUGCAGUGUGUUAAGGAUCUGGCAUUGCCGCACCUGUGGCACAGGUAGCAACCAUGGAGCAAUUCAACACCUAGCCCAGGAACUUCCACAUGACCUGGGCAUGGCAAAAAAUUGGGGGAGAAAAGGAGGGGUGAACUUGUUUCACUGCCAGUCCCUGUUUUCAGACUCUCAAAUCUCAGCCAUGAAGGCCAAAUACUAACAGUAAGACAUGGCCAUUUUCUAGAUGAACAUUUUUACUGCUCUUUUUUUGCUGCAUUUUUUGCCUUUUAUAUAUACAGAUAAUGUCUCUGGCAUUGAGCUAACUGGUAUAGCUGGGAUGGUCCAUCAGUUCCUUUGAAAAUUUAUUGAUGUCCAGUUUUAAAAGAACUUGUUCUCAGUUUGAAUGUAUAUGUAUUUUUAAAUGUAUUUUAUUGAAGCAUAUUUGAUUUACAAUGUUGUGUUAGUUUCUACUGUACAGCAGUGAUUCAAUUAUACAUACAUAUACAUAUUAUUUUUCAUUACAGUUUUUCACAGGUUAUUGAAUAUACAGUGGGACCUUGUUGUUUACCCAUUCUAUGUAUAGUAGUAUAUGUAGAUAUAUCACAGAUUAGGAGACAGACUCUUAGAACAAUCGGCUACACAAAUAUCAUAUUCAUGUUAUUUUCCAGUAUGUAGUGCAGUUUAGAGACAGUGGUGAAACAGAACAUACAACAUUGACCAUUUUAAACUGGUUUUCUUCCUUAAAAACAGGCUGUUGAUUAAUCACACCUGGAGCUAUUUUACAGAGAUAGCACUGCACAUAUGCAAGACAGGAACCUGUCUCCAGAAUGACUCUAGAAUGAACAUCUUCAGUGUGCGGAACUCAAGAAAUGUUGCCACCAGAGCUCUUUGCAAAGCAAGAAGUCAGUCCUUCAGUAAGAAAAAUCUGGCCUCCAAGAGUCCAAGUAGCUUGAUUACUGAUUCAAGACCAGCCAGUCAGCUUCCAAGUUUGAAAUUCUCCUAAUCCCUUAAAUUUCACCCCAAACCCUUGAUAGACAGAUUUGAGCCCUGCUUCUAGUCUCCUUGCUUUAUAGACUUUGCAAUAAAGCUCUUUCUUUACUAAAAAUCCGGUGCCAUCGUAUUGGUUUCUGUGCACCUGUGUAGUAGCAACCCAUUCCUUAAGAACAGCAGCACUUAACAAUCUUUGUUGACUGAAUUAAUAAGAUUAGGAAGCCAGGAAACCAUGUCUCCUGAGCUUCACCAACCAGCAGAUUUCUGUGCUAUUCUGCGCUCUGAUUUAUCUGAGUAACAUGUUCCCUUAGUACACAUAUUCUUCCCUAAUAAAACCAGCUCUGCAUGGCCCCAAAUUAAUGUUUGUGUCAAUAGAAUUAUUUUCCAUGGAAUCUCUGUCCAUUUUCAUUACAAUGAUUAUUAACCAAUCAGUCAUAAUAUUGUGUGUGCCACUUUUGGUUUCUCAAAAACUCUAAUGCAGAGUUCCCGACGUAGCGCAGUGGUUAACGAAUCCGACUAGGAACCAUGAGGUUGUGGGUUCGGUCCCUGCCCUUGCUCAGUGGGUUAACGAUCCAGCGUUGCCGUGAGCUGUGGUGUAGGUUGCAGACGCGGCUCAGAUCCCGCGUUGCUGUGACUCUGGCGUAGGCCAGUGGCUACAGCUCCGAUUCGACCCCUAGCCUGGGAACCUCCAUAUGCCGUGGGAGUGGUCCAAAGAAAUAGCAAAAAGACAAAAACCAAAAAAAACCUCUAAUGCUAUGCUGUCCAAAAUGGUACCCACAAGUUGCAGAGUUAUUGAGCCCUUGACAUGUGACUAGUUCAAAUGAGACAUGUUGUAGAUGAAAAUACACAUUGAAUUGUGUACAAUAUGGGAAAAAAAAGUAACUUAUUAGUCAUUUAUCACAUCUUGAAAUAAAAAUGGGUACUUUUGGUAAAAUAUAUCAUCAAAAUUAAUGGCGACCGAGUCCUUUUAUUUUUUUGAAUGUAACUAGAAAACUUAAAAUUACAUAUAAUCCUUGCCUCUGUGGCUCACAUACAUCUAUUGAAGACCAUUCUCAAUGAUUCGUCUGGCAGCUCCUGCAUUUGGACUCUGCCUGUUAUAGUUGGAUGACUUAUACAAGUUAGCUAAUUUCUCUAGUCCUCAGUUAUUUAACAUGUCCUAUAAUACUAUUUUCUAGGUUUGCUGUAGGAAUGAUAUGCAAGGAUGCUUUUGAAUCCCCAAUACAGAACCAGGUUCUAAGUGUUCUUUUCAUUCCAGCAUCCUCUCACCCUCCCCCCUUUCUAGUGCAGUCACCACUAGGAAGUAAAAGAUAUCAUAGCUGUGCUCCUCCAUGAGAAAAGGGGCAGCUCAUCCUCAAUGAAAAUGCAUUUGAAAAAAUUUAACCCUUCAACUUGUCCUGCCCACUUUAGAGAGGGACCAUUUACAAACUUCUUCAAAGUUUAAAAUUGAAUAUAUGCCAGGUUACCCAAACUUUCAGUUGCUAAAUAACCAGUAAUCAGGUGAUCCAAUCAAAAAUGAUUGAACUGAGUGUGUUGAGGAAGCAUUAAACUGAAAGCAAUCCAUCAGUAAGUUAAUUACCUCUGGCAUUUUUAUGUUGUGGAAUUUAAAGGAAAUAAAUGAGAAACAAAUUAUCACUCUAAAAUAUUGAACUAAAUUUUAAAUAAACUUUGAACAUUGUAUAGUUUUGAGUUAAGUUUACUGAAGCAAAGAUGUCAUUCCUUUUAUUUAUUUAUAUAUUUUUGGCCUUGCCUGCAUAAUACAGAAGUUCUAGGCCAAGGAUCAAAUCUGAGCCACAGCACAGUAAUAGCAAUAACUCCGAAUCUUUAUCCAGUAGGCCACCAGGGAACUCCCAAGAUGUCAUUACUUUUAAUCAAGUGAGGGGACUAAUUUUAGAAUAAAAUAGUUUAGCACCUGACAAAAAUAAGUUUAUUUGUAAUCUUAUUAAUGUGAUGAUUUUCUCUUCAUAAGAUUUAUCAUUUAUACUACUCUACAUAAAAUUUCAUGCUUUGGAUAAGUGCUGUCACUUGUAACAUUUAAUAUUAAAAUCUGAAAUGGGAAUGUGUGAAAUUCUGCACUUUUAUGGUUUUUUUUCCAUAUCAACAAGAAAAUUGAAUUAUCAUAAGCACACAUACGCACUAAAGGUUUAUUUAGAAAACACCUGGAAAAUAGAACCCAUAUGUAUAUAAUCUUUAAAAUGGGCCUUAGUAAAAUAUCCGUUAGGGAUAAAAUUUGUCACUGGUUUCCAGGUUAUACAGUGGGAAGUGGAAAAUUGUGGUGCAGGGCAGGGGACUUGUGCUAUAACAAUUAUCUGGGAGUUUUACUCAUAUUUUUAAAAAAGUAUUUUUAAACCCAGGCAUUUAUGCAUGAGAAAAUAAGAAAGUAAGUGAAUAGCUUCCUCUCCCCUCCCCCACAAAACAGGUAUCAAAUCUAUUCUAGGUUGUCAGAUCCUAACGUUCUCACUUCAGGACUUGGUGCACAAUGUGUUCACAUGCUAGAGAAAUGAGUUAAUUGACUGGCAUAGCUUUAUAGUGAAAUAAUGCAAAGACUAUUUAGCAAACUCAGUCAUUUCUAUAUUUAUCAAAGAUGGUCUCCAUGUGUUAUUCACUUGCAAGCAAUUAUUAUAGGAACAAUAAUUCAUGUACCAAAACUGUCUGUUUAAUUCAGAAAGGCAGUAAUUUGGACUUUGUUAAAAAGACACCUAUGAACUUUUUAGAAGUUGCAGUUUGAUAAAUAUUUAGUGGAAAUAUGGUUUGCAUAUGGCCAAAGAGCAAAGAACAAUCCCCACAUAAGACUCUAACGCAAAAGCAAAUACCUAAAAUGUCAGAUUAGCUUAAAAUACCAACAAUGCUACCAGACUACUGAGCAAAAGAGGAAACAGACAGCAGCGAUCUGUCUUUCAUUUUCUUUAAGUUUAGGUAAAAUAACCUGAUCUGCUUACUCAACAACUUUUGAAUGGCCAAUUUAUUUUCUAAUAUGUAUGUGAUGAAACUUUGGGAGCUAUACAAUACUUCCCCACUAAAUAAAAGAUCAAAAUAGAUCUGAAAUCUCAUAUGCUAUAGGGCACAUCGAUUGCUAACUUCACUGAUUUAUCAGUGUUUAAAUAGGAAUAGCUAAAAUAGCAUUCUAAACCCACAAAUCAAAAUGUUACUCUAUCUUAAAGAGUGUCAUUAAUACAAGUGAAAGCACAUCAGGCACCUCUGUAUUGCCUGAUAUCAAUCAUGAAAUCCCCAAAUACCCCAAAGACUUCUAACACUACUUUCAGGCCAUCAGAAAUUACCAAGUAAUGGGACUUUCCUGAAAAAGGCUGUCUUCAUGUGAUUUCCAACACUGUUUCAAUACCAAAUAGACCUGAAUGCUUAUCGGAUCUAACCCAAACUGCCAAGAGCUCUGAAUUCCACCCAUCUGUCACUAGGUUAUUGGUUCAAGACAAUAUUAAGACAAAGAGGAAGAGACAAAAUCAGUCGGAAAAAAAUUUUUUUUUGACUUUCCAUCCCUUUUCUUUAUUGUCUACUGAGCAGCAAGUUAUGUCCUUCCAAACUGGCUUAAACUUGAAUCUCAAGUUUCAAAUCAAGCAACUUCCCUCAGGAAUUAGUUUCCCCUGACACGCACACAAAAUUGUUUGAACUACUUUAUGUUCCUCACUCAUCUCUCUUCUCUUUUCUCUUUUGUCCUAUCUCAUCUACUUUUCUCCUUUCCAGUGCCUUGGGUGAAAGAAAUGCCAAGCAUAAUCAUCAGAGAACUUACAGGGGUAUAAACUCUUUACCAAUUUAGGCGGUUUCACUGCAAGAAAAGACAGGGAAUUUGAAUUUGUAUACAAUGAAAACAAAGUUUCAUAAGAAGUAUGCCAUGGGUAUUUGCAGGGCCUCUUGAUUAUAAUGCUCUUUUAUCUCACCUUGUGUCAUUAAAAUAUAAGACACCAAGACACCGGCAAUAAAACUAAAAGUAAACAGGCACAUAUCCUUAUCCACGUAGGGAAGCAAUAAAUCUCCCUCACUGAUAGCAGCUGUACUACAGCUAUCAUUUCACUAGUGCAGCUGCCACAACAAUAUCAAAUUUUACAGUUAAAAAGCAGUCAAAACUUUAAUGUUAAAGUGGAGAUGGAUAUAUAUUGCACUAUAAAUAAGCAUCCUCUAAUGAAGAAAUGAAACAUGUUUAUUUUUCUCCCACUGAAUAGCAUAUAUCUCACCUACUACAAUCUGUCAUAAUAGAACUCAUUAUACUUGAACGUCUAUAAUACAAAAUUCUGUUUAUGCUAAUUAGGUUGGCUUUCAUUGUUACAUAUGAGAACUUGAAAACCCCUGGCCUGAGAGGAAAAUUUUACCUCUUUCUUAAAAAAAAAAAAAAAAAAAAAAAAAAAA
ensembl:lncRNA